UACGGGGGGGGCAAGCGUUGUUCGGAAUUAUUGGGCGUAAAGAGCUCGUAGGCGGUCUGUCGCGUCGGAUGUGAAAACCCAGGGCUCAACCCUGGGCCUGCAUUCGAUACGGGCAGACUAGAGUUCGGUAGGGGAGACUGGAAUUCCUGGUGUAGCGGUGAAAUGCGCAGAUAUCAGGAGGAACACCGGUGGCGAAGGCGGGUCUCUGGGCCGAAACUGACGCUGAGGAGCGAAAGCGUGGGGAGCAAACAGG
rnacentral:rRNA from 1 species